rnacentral:rRNA from 1 species
CCUACGGGUGGCAGCAGUGGGGAAUAUUGCACAAUGGGGGCAACCCUGAUGCAGCGACGCCGCGUGAGUGAAGAAGUACUUCGUUAUGUUAAGCUCUAUCAGCAGGGAAGUAAAUGACGGUACGUGUGUAACAAGCCACGGCUAACUACGUGCCAGCAGCCGCGGUACUACGGAGGCGGCAAGCGUUAUCCGGAUUUACUGGGUGUAAAGGGAGCGUAGACGGGAGGGCAAGUCUGGAGUGAAAGGCGGGGGCUCAACCCCCGGACUGCACUGGAAACUGUACGGCUGGAGUGCAGGAGAGGUAAGUGGAAUUCCUAGUGUAGCGGUGAAAUGCGUAGAUAUUAGGAGGAACACCAGUGGCGAAGGCGGCUUACUGGACUGUAACUGACGUUGAGGCUCGAAAGCGUGGGGAGCAAACAGGAUUAGAUACCCCAGUAGUC